rnacentral:rRNA from 1 species
UACGUAGGGGGCAAGCGUUGUCCGGAGUUACUGGGCGUAAAGCGCACGCAGGCGGUCGAUUAAGUUUGGAGUGACAGUUGGUGGCUUAACUGCCAAAGUGCUUCGAAAACUGAUCGACUUGAGGGCUUCAGAGGGACACGGAAUUCCGGGUGGAGUGGUGAAAUGCGUAGAGAUCCGGAGGAACACCGGUGGCGAAGGCGGCAUCCUGGACCGGCAUUGACGCUGAGGCGCGAAAGCCAGGGGAGCAAACGGG